UACGGAGGGUGCAAGCGUUGUCCGGAUUUAUUGGGCGUAAAGGGCGCGUAGGCGGCCAGGUAAGUCGGAUGUGAAAUCCCUCGGCUCAACUGAGGAAUUGCGUUCGAAACUGUCUGGCUUGAGUUCGGGAGAGGGAAGUGGAAUUCCCAGUGUAGAGGUGAAAUUCGUAGAUAUUGGGAGGAACACCAGUGGCGAAGGCGGCUUCCUGGACCGAAACUGACGCUGAGGCGCGAAAGCGUGGGUAGCAAACAGGAUUAGAUACCCUGGUAGUCCACGCUGUAAACGAUGGAUACUAGGUGCUGCGGGUAUUGACCCCUGCGGCGCCGGAGCUAACGUAUUAAGUAUCCCGCCUGGGGAGUACGGCCGCAAGGCUAAA
rnacentral:rRNA from 1 species